AUGGCCAAUCUCCAUUCUGUGAUUUAUAUUCACUACUAUUGUAUAGUAGGUAAUUCGUUUUGAAAUUUUUAAUUGCUUUUGAUUUUUUAAAAAUUUAUUUUAAAUUACAUAAGUAAUACAGGAAGAUAGUCUGGGAAAAGAUUGAGACAGUACAUGUGUAUGUUCCCUUUUUUCCAGUUACCCAUGCCAGUCCCCAACUGGAUUUAACAUGGUCCCUAGUUUUGUAUUCAUCUUUCCAACAUUUUCAUUCGCAUUAAUGUGCUGCAGCAACAUGUUGGAACUAUACCUAUCUCAGUCUGGAGGUUUUGGUGGAGGCUUUUGGGAGGUGAUGAUGAGGAGCUCAGUCUUAAAUAGGAGAAUCUAACUAGGUAAAAAGAGGCUAUGAUAUGUUGAACCCACAUAACAUUUGCAUCAGAUUAUUCAGAAAUCUUUUUACUGAGGCUCCAGAUUUCAAGAGCAAAACAAAAGCUGCCGAACUGAAGUGCUAGACAACCUAUUCUGGGUAGAAUAUUGUGAUGGGUGCUGUACAAGAAGAAGGAAGCUGAGUGUGAAGCAAAGACACCUUCAGGGAUACAUAGAACCAGGCAUUUGCUGCAGGACACCUGGAUUGCACAACCAGUGGCUAACUUGCAUGAAAAAACAUACCUGUUGUCUUAACAAUUAUUGGGCAUUUUCCCACAUGAAUUAUACGCUUUAUCUAAAUGGAAGAAAAUUAUUCAUAAGAUCUUAUAUUCACAUUGAAUUUAUAUAUUAAAAUGCCCUACCUUGAGCCCAGAAGUUUGAGGCCAGCCUGGGAAACAUGGCGAGAUCCCCCUCUCUACAAGAAGACAAAAAUUAGCCUGGCAUCAUGGUGCGUGCCUGUGUCCCAGCUACUGAGGAGGGUAAGUGGGGAGGAUUGCUUGAG
rnacentral:lncRNA from 13 species